rnacentral:rRNA from 1 species
GACGAACGCUGGCGGCGUGCUUAACACAUGCAAGUCGAACGGUAAGGCCCUUCGGGGUACACGAGUGGCGAACGGGUGAGUAACACGUGGGUGAUCUGCCCUGCACUUCGGGGUAAGCCUGGGAAACUGGGUCUAAUACCGGAUAGGACCACUGCCUGCAUGGGUGGUGGUGGAAAGCUUUUGCGGUGUGGGAUGGGCCCGCGGCCUAUCAGCUUGUUGGUGGGGUGAUGGCCUACCAAGGCGACGACGGGUAGCCGGCCUGAGAGGGUGACCGGCCACACUGGGACGGAGAUACGGCCCAGACUCCUACGGGAGGCAGCAGUGGGGAAUAUUGCACAAUGGGCGCAAGCCUGAUGCAGCGACGCCGCGUGAGGGAUGACGGCCUUCGGGUUGUAAACCUCUUUCAGCACCGACGAAGCGCAAGUGACGGUAGGUGCAGAAGAAGGACCGGCCAACUACGUGCCAGCAGCCGCCGUAACAC